rnacentral:rRNA from 1 species
UACGUAGGGUGCGAGCGUUAAUCGGAAUUACUGGGCGUAAAGCGUGCGCAGGCGGUUCGUUAUGUCCGAUGUGAAAGCCCCGAGCUCAACUUGGGAAUGGCAUUGGAAACUGGCUCGCUGGAGUGUGGCAGAGGGGGGUGGAAUUCCGCGUGUAGCAGUGAAAUGCGUAGAGAUGCGGAGGAACACCGAUGGCGAAGGCAGCCCCCUGGGCUAACACUGACGCUCAGGCACGAAAGCGUGGGGAGCAAACAGG